UACGGAGGGAGCUAGCGUUAUUCGGAAUUACUGGGCGUAAAGCGCACGUAGGCGGCUUUGUAAGUUAGAGGUGAAAGCCUGGAGCUCAACUCCAGAAUUGCCUUUGAUACUGCAUGGCUUGAAUCCAGGAGAGGUGAGUGGAACUCCGAGUGUAGAGGUGAAAUUCGUAGAUAUUCGCAAGAACACCAGUGGCGAAGGCGGCUCACUGGCCCGAUACUGACGCUGAGGCACGAAAGCGUGGGGAGCAAACAGG
rnacentral:rRNA from 1 species